UACGAAGGGUGCAAGCGUUACUCGGAAUUACUGGGCGUAAAGCGUGCGUAGGCGGUUUGUUAAGUCCGCUGUGAAAGCCCUGGGCUCAACCUGGGAAUUGCAGUGGAUACUGGCAAGCUAGAGUGCGGUAGAGGAUGGUGGAAUUCCCGGUGUAGCGGUGAAAUGCGUAGAGAUCGGGAGGAACACCAGAGGCGAAGGCGGCGACCUGGACAAGUACUGACACUCAACUACGAAAGCGUGGGGAGCAAACAGG
rnacentral:rRNA from 1 species